UGUUGGAGGUGAUGGAGGAGGUGAGCAGGGAGCCUUGUCUCAUGAGCACCCGUGCCGAAGGACCCCCGAUCCUAAAGAGAGAGAGUGGGCCCUGCAAGGACACACGGCUCAGGGGGAAAGAUGGACCCCAGAAAGAAAUGUUCACAGGAUGCUCGCUCUGUCCCAGGACCACGGAGCUUCUGAUGACAGGGACAGAGCUGAAGUCUCCAACACCAUCGAGCCUCUUCCAAAACUCCCCGGUCCCAACUCGGGAAGACCCAGCUCCGAGGUCAGCAGAUAGUGGUGCCUGUGCUGAGUCAGUCGCUGCCUUGCACAUGAGCUGCGUGUGUCUGCCCCUGAAGCCAGAGAGGGCGCAUCUUUGAUGUCCCGACAGGGCCAAACAUUGGCAAAACCUCUGCACAUGUUGGUGAUGAUUCCCGGCUUCUGUCCCGAGGUGCACACAGGCUGAAUCCUGAGUCAGCUUAUGUCUGGGUUUCACACCUGGGAAGCCCCGUGUCUAUGUCAUGCUUUUCAAAUUUUGAGGAUUGGAAUAAAUCUCGGCCAUAGAGUCACAGCCCCCGGUGCUGAGCACUGUGCUUCCAGCAUUGAUCACACGAGUCAAUUUCCACAGCAGACCGAUUGACUGGAGAUGAGGCUACAGAGGCCAUGAGACCAAGGGGCAGCCUGUGAGGGAGUCUGUCCAAGGCUUUGGCGCGGUCACCUUUAAUGUCAUCAGCCUAUGCAAAAAGGCAGCAAGCCAAGAAGCAGUUUCCUUUCAUCAGGCUGCCCUGAGGCUCUUCCUAUGAUGCAAAGAAAAGCUUUUUGGACAAGGAGCCCGAGGGGGAAGCAGCUCAUUCACGUGGGACGAAUAAGGCUAUGCCUGCCCUUCAGGGAUGUUCUCUUCGCCUGCCUUUAUUUACACAAAGUCACCUGGAAAUUGUUCUUAAGACUCGGGAAGAAAUUGUAUCAUGCUCCUAGAUCAUUUGCAAAACGGUUCUUCCCCAAGAAUCCUCAGAAGGAUUCAGAAACCAUCCAGGGGAGAAAAUGCUAAUGUCCCCGCAUCUUUCACAAGCCAGCUUUCUUCAGCACUUGAGAGGACUUGCCAGAGAUAUUUUUGGUAGCUCGCUCAAACUGAGGGGCUUCAGGAAAUGCACCGUGGGACGACGUCGCCUGCACGCUGCUUGUCCUGUCUUUGAUUUUCCUGUCAGAGGCUCGGACUUACCCAGAAUCCGCCUGACUUGGCAUUUCCUGACUUUCGGCUUUGGACCCAAGCGUUGUUUAAACAAAGGGCGUGGGGCCCAGUGGGGGUGGGGACCGGGCAUUGUUGGAAUAUCACACGGGAUAAAAAAUUAGAUGUCCCUGUCAGACUAAGUUUAGGCCUGUGAGCCAUUGUUUGCUAUGUGACAACAAUGCUUGUCCAUUUUAUGACAGUGAAAAGAAUUAGCAGGGCUACAUGCUCUGAUGUAAGAUGUGAACUGGGUGAAUGGGCGUGCUGAGUCGCUUCAGUCGCCGCCCCACGGUUGGCAGCCUGCCGGGCCCCUCCGUCCACGGGAUUCCCCAGGCAAGAAUCCUGGAGUGGGCUGCCAUGCCUUCCUCCAGGGGGUCUUCCCGAGCCAGGCAUUGAACCCGUGUCUCUUAUGUCUCCUGCGUUGGCAGGAGGGUGCCACCUGGGAGGCCUGAACUGGGUAUUUCUCUUAAACAAAAAUCUGCACUUAACUGCCCGUUAGCCAUCAGACUGCCAGGUAGCAGUAUAUAGAGUAUAUUGACCUCCCUGGGUGGGGAGACAGCCUUCUGGAAUGACAACAAGGUGGAAAUAGUCGAGCCUUAGCCUUAUUUCUAUGGAGGUUGCCGAGGUUUUUGUGAAAUGACCUAUUUACGGAAACAAAUUAGCCUUUGCUUGUAUCUUUCCCUGAUCUACCAACCAAGAAAACGAGCUUGAUUUUUUUUGUUUUUUGCUUUCUAAAUGUUGUAGGGGUUCAGAUUAAAUAAUCAUCGUCUUGGUUUUACUAAAAUAAAGUGAAG